CCUACGGGUGGCUGCAGUAGGGAAUCUUCCACAAUGGGCGAAAGCCUGAUGGAGCAACGCCGCGUGGGUGAAGAAGGUCUUCGGAUCGUAAAACCCUGUUGUUAGAGAAGAAAGUGCGUGAGAGUAACUGUUCACGUUUCGACGGUAUCUAACCAGAAAGCCACGGCUACCUACGUGCCAGCAACCUCGGUAAUACGUAGGUGGCAAGCCUUAUCCGGAUUUAUUGGGCGUAAACGGUCAGCUGGCGGUCUUUUAAGUCUGAUGGUAAAGUUUUUGGGUUAACCGGGGUAGUGCAGUGGAAACUGGGAGACUUGAGUGCAGAAGAGGAGAGUGGAACUCGAUGUGUAGCGGUGAAAUGCGUAGAUAUAUGGAAGAACACCAGUGGCGAAAGCGGCUCUCUGGUCUGUAACUGACGCUGAGGUUCGAAAGCGUGGGUAGCAAACAGGAUUAGAUACCCUAGUAGUC
rnacentral:rRNA from 1 species